AUAUAUAUUGAGCUAAACUUUUAUACUAUUUAUAGUAUCGAAAUUUUAGUAUUAUAGUCUCAUUUUUUAAUUUUAAAAUGUUCCAAUCAACUAUCUAUAUUAUUCAAACUAAUUUAGAAUAUUUAAAAUUUUUACGAAUAUAAUUUUUUUUUUUUCAACAUAGUUUACUUUAUGAUUAAAUAAUUUCAAAAUUGUCAAUUUUCAAUGAUUAGUAUGACGAGUUUCUAGUUUAACGGUGUAGAAGAAUCUAAAUGCAUUCAAAUUUUGAUAGAAAAUAUUUUAAACUAUCUAUAUCAAGAUCAAUAUUUUUGAUCUUGAAUUUAAAAAUUGUUCAAUUUCAACCGUUCAUUUUGACAUAAUUUUCUUAUUAAAUAAACGAUGUCGAAAAAAAUUAAAACUUUAUUUCUAAAAACUGUAUAUACCAUAAAUCAUAUUUAAUGGUGUGGAUAGUUAAUUUGAACAUUCUAAUAUCGAAAAUAAAAUGGUACUAUUGAUAAUAUAAUAGCCUAAUUAUAUAUAUACAUAUAUAUAUAUAUA
rnacentral:lncRNA from 1 species